CUCUCUAGUAUCAAUGUGUGGUUCUCUUAUCUUGCGGUAGGAAGAUAGGUCCCUGGGGAAAGCAGUAAGCUUCCUGAGUCUUUGAGUCAAGAGCUGGAAAAUAUGGAGGGUGAUUUUCAGAAUGUCUGACCAUAAUCCAUCCUUAAAUGUUCCCAUAGAUCUGUGCAGUUUGAAUUCCAUUAAUUGUGUGAUGGAUUUACAGUUGAACAUUUAAGGUAUAAUUACCUCUAUUAUCGAAAACAAAGGAGACACGUGCCAGUCUGACAGAGUAAAGAUAUAGCCUCAAGGAAACGGAUUAGUUCAUCUUGUCUCUUCCCCUCACACAUGCACAUGCAGAUAUUUCUGCAUGAAUCCCUGUCUACCUACUUGUCAGUGCAUUCAUUGUCCCCUGAUUUCCAGGGCUGCAUUGUCAUCUCUCUGGGACGGCUCCUAAUGGUUGAAAAGUUCUUCACUUAAGUUCAUGAUCAUCACAGGUCCGGUUACCAAAAGAGAUUCAUCUGUUUGAACCUUGAUAUGUGUGAGUCUACUCACUGGAAACAAGCAGCCGAUUUAAAAAGAUAUUGGAAGAACAGCUUGGACACAGAGAAAGGAAUGACCUGGAGUCUUAAAAAACAGACAAGCUUUUCAGUAGCUUGGCACUUGGAACAAGAAGCUAAAAGUCACAUAAGGAUUGUCUCCCAGUGACAACUGCUAGCACCACAGGGCUAGAACUGGUAAAAGACAAAGCAAAACCGCCAUGCCUUUGGGGAAAUGACUCUGCUACCUUGCCAAGAAACAUGUUUGGCAGGUUUAUAAGCCAAGGUGGAGUUGAAGUUCUCUGAGCCCUUCUGCCCUCCUUGAAAGAUGUCAGGUGGGAACCUCAGCAAAGGUAAUAUCUUGAGCAGCAUCUCCAGGGUUGGGCAAACUGGUUCAGGUAGAAGAAGCUGCAGCUCACACUGAACCUUUGCCCAUUUCUUGAUGGGCCCAGCCUAAAUUGUGUCUUCUUCCCCCUCACAAACCUAAAUCUGGCACACAGUUGUCCUCAGAACAGAACCUUCAUAGAUGAUGUGAAAAGCAUGGCUGAUAUCUUAAAAUCUUUCUCUUGAAUGUCUGCACCUCUGCCCUCCCUUGAGGUUAAUUAUUUGAACGCCAGCC
rnacentral:lncRNA from 1 species